UGAGUUUGAUCCUGGCUCAGGACGAACGCUUGCGGCGUGCCUAAGAAAUGCAAGUCGAACGGGGCGGGGCUUCGGCCCUGCCUAGUGGCGAACGGUCGCGUAACACGUAAGCAACCUGCCCGGAAGUGGGGGACAACAGCCCGAAAGGGUUGCUAAUACCGCAUGUGGCCCGGGGGCGGCAUCGCCCCCUGUCCAAAGCCCAGUGAUGGGCGCUUCCGGAUGGGCUUGCGGCCUAUCAGCUCGUUGGCGGGGUAACGGCCCACCAAGGCUUCGACGGGUAGCUGGUCUGAGAGGAUGUCCAGCCGGAUUGGGACUGAGAUACGGCCCAGACUCCUACGGGGGGCAGCAAUUAGGAAUCUUGCGCAAUGGGGGCAACCCUGACGCAGCGACGUCGCGUGGGGGAGGAAGGCCUUCGGGUCGUAAACCCCUUUUCUGGGGGAAGAAGGAUGUGACGGUACCCCAGGAAUAAGCCCCGGCUAACUACGUGCCAGCAGCCACGGUAAUACGUAGGGGGCGAGCGUUGUCCGAAGUUACUGGGCGUAAAGCGCGCGUAGGCGGCUAUGCAAGUCCGGGGUGAAAGGUUCAGCGCUCAACGCGAACAGUGCCCUGGAGACUGCGUGGCUUGAGUCCGGGAGGGGGCAGUGGAAUUCCUGGUGUAGCGGUGAAAUGCGUAGAUAUCAGGAGGAACACCGAUGGCGAAGGCAGCUGCCUGGCCCAGGACUGACGCUGAGGCGCGAAAGCGUGGGGAGCGAACGGGAUUAGAUACCCCGGUAGUCACGCCGUAAACGAUGAGUGCCAGGUGUCGGGGGUAUCGACCCCCCCCGGUGCCGUCGCUAACGCAUUAAGCACUCCGCCUGGGGAGUACGGCCGCAAGGUUGAAACUCAAAGGAAUUGACGGGGGCCCGCACAAGCGGUGGAGCAUGUGGAUUAAUUCGUCACUAACCGAAGAACCUUACCCAGGCUUGACAUCGCGUGAAAGGCCGUGAAAGCGGUCCCUCCCCGCAAGGGGACACAAAGACAGGUGUUGCAUGGCUGUCGUCAGCUCGUGUCGUGAGAUGUUGGGUUAAGUCCCGCAACGAGCGCAACCCUCACCGUAUGUUGGCAGCGUCGAGUCGGCCACUCUUACGGAACUGCCCGUGCAAGCGGGAGGAAGGUGGGGACGACGUCAAGUCGGCAUGGCCCUUACGCCUGGGGCUUCACACAUGCUACAACGGGCGGCACAGAGGGCAGCGAUCCCGCGAGGGGGAGCGAAUCCCAAAAAUCCGCCCUCAGUUCGGAUUGCAGGCUGCAACUCGCCUGCAUGAAGCCGGAAUCGCUAGUAACCGCAGGUCAGCUAAACUGCGGUGAAUCCGUUCCCGGGCCUUGUACACACCGCCCGUCAAGUCACCUGAAUUGUCUGCACCCGACGCCGACGGCCUAACCAGCGAUGGGGGGAGUCGUCUAAGGUGUGGGGAGUAAGGGGGACUAAGUCGUAACAAG
rnacentral:rRNA from 1 species